AAUUUUCCGCAAUGGGCGAAAGCCUGACGGAGCAAUGCCGCGUGAAGGAAGAAGGCUCACGAGUCGUAAACUUCUUUUCUCAGAGAAGAAAGAAUGACGGUAUCUGAGGAAUAAGCAUCGGCUAACUCUGUGCCAGCAGCCGCGGUAAAACAGAGGAUGCAAGCGUUAUCCGGAAUUAUUGGGCGUAAAGUGUCUGUAGGUGGCUUUUCAAGUCCCUCGUCAAAUACCAGGGCUUAACCCUGGACAGGCGUUGGAAACUACCAAGCUGGAGUGCGGUAGGGGCAGAGGGAAUUUCCGGUGGAGCGGUGAAAUGCGCUGAGAUCGGGAAGAACACCAACAAGCGAAAGCACUCUGCUGGGCCGUAACUGACACUUAGAGACUAAAGCUAGGGGAGCAAAUGG
rnacentral:rRNA from 1 species